ensembl:lncRNA
AGUACUCUUUUUUUAAAAAAAAGUAUGCAAAAGUGCUCUUCUUGUUCAUAAGGGAUCUCCUGUUAAUUCUGCAGAAUCUAUGAAGUGCACAAUAAAAAUUGUGGAAUAUAACUUCUUACUUUGAGGUGAAUCACGCAGUCUACAUGAAAAUCAGGAACAAACUACCAUUUCAUAAUGUUUCUAUGCUGCAUUUACUAUAAAAUGUAUUAGUGUUAUGCAGGGGUUUUUUUUCAGCUAAACAAAAUUAUGCUAGUGUCGGCUGUCAUACUUUGACUGUCACACAAAUAUUGCUUUCCACAGAAAGGUAUCACGAAAGGAAUUGAAACCACAAUCUUCAAUAAAAGAGUGAAAAUAUGACGUCUCAGUGUAAGUGUGCAAAAUAAAAAAAAAAUGCAGGCAACGAUAUUCAAAAGGCAAGCUGGAUGCCAUGUGAAAACAACAAUUCAGGAGGUGACAGUUCAGCCAUGACACGUGGGAGGCAAAGGGUAUUUAAUAUGCGAUUUUAUAUGAAAAAAAAAAAGCUAAAUAAGAAGAUAUUUUCUAUGAAAAGUUAAACUCAAAACUUCAAUAAUACAACGAUUAACUUCCUUUAUUACCAAAUGGUGUAUUGGUGGAUUUUGACUGAGUGAAAGUGUGUUAGUUUGACACUGGUCACUAUACACUAGCAUUAAAUCCUCCAUAUAAGAGAUUUUCAGAAUUUCUCCUUUUGGGGUCUAAAAUAGCAAGUUCAUUCAUACCAAUUGAAAUGCUGCAAUGCAUUAGUAUUUCUAGAAAUUAGUAUUAGCACUUAAUAUAUGCUAUAAAACUAUUAAUAAAUUUCAUGCUAAUGCAUUAACUACUGUUAACAGAUUGUAAAGUGUUACCAUCAUAAUGACUCUUCAGUGCAUUCCAGUCUUUUACUGUAUAAUAUUGUGUGUAUGUGUUUUUAUGGUAAACAUGGUUUCUAUCCGUUCCAUGUUUUCUAAGCUGCUGGUCAAGUGCAGGAGUCAUUUGCUGUGAAUGGACAAAUAAGUGCAAAUGCAGGCUUCUCCACAACGGCAGAUGCUUUGGGGGCUGAUAGCCUAACAUUCACAGAUGGGGUGUCUCCAGGAUUCAUAGCACCUGAUGGCAUGGGAGGCAACAGCAAUGAACCGAUGAACAGAGAUGAACGUUAUGAAGAUAAGCGUGUGCAUCCAAAGGGAAAGAAGAAAAAAGUAAGAAGAGAGGGGAGAACAGCUUCACCACUAAAGAGGAAAAGCAUCUAGUCAGCAUCUGAUUAUUAUGUAAAGUGAUUUCUUUAAUAACACUUAUUUUCUGUUUAUUUAGCAUUAGUAGUCUAUUUCUAUAAGCUUAAAGGGACAGUUCACCCAAAAAUGAAAAUUCUGUGAUUAAUUACUCACCCUCAAGCCAUUCCAAAUUCAUUCAUCUUCGGAACACAAAUUAAUAUAUUUUUGAUUUAGAUUUUUCUUUGAAAUUCGAUUUACAAUUAAUUACAGAAUUUUCACUUUUGGGUGAUCUAUCCCUAUAAGUAAAACUUGAAAGCUUUAUAAACUUCUAGAACUCUAACUCUCUUUACUGCUUUUUAAACUUCUAUGACUCUGUUGUUCUGUACUGUACUCUUUAAAUAAAUAAUACUUACAAAAUGGCA